rnacentral:lncRNA from 1 species
UUUUAUUCUCUACUAGGGUUUCAAACCCCACCUUGGGCCGUCAUCGGUCCACCACCGUAUACAGUGGCCGACAUUCCUAAAGUCCCCCUUUUCGGCCGAUUUCAGCCCCCUUAAACCCAAUUCGAAGGAAAAAUAUCUGAAUCUCUCCAAAAAAAAAAGAAAAAAAUAGAAGAGAAAAGAACAAAAAGGAAGGCCCUUCGCCUCCCUAUCUACGACGGUGAUAUUUCCAGCGAACCCGAAGGUUUGACUGCCUAAACUCCGACCGCGGACACGAGGUGAGCCCUUUCUUCCUUUUUAUUAUUUUCGUAUAUAAAAAAUAAAGAAAAAUGAAAAAAACUUCGGAGCCAAAAAAUAAAUCAAACGUAAAUCACCUUAAAAUAUUCAAUCUUUUUUCUUUCUAUUCAAAAAUCGAAAGAAAAGAAAAGAGAGGACCCCCUGCUGAUUUUUUUAAGGCUUUUAUAGCCUAAUAUAUUACAAUAUAUCUACUAUUUCUUUGUCCUAUUUCUCUGCUCUGUUGUCUUUGUCGCGUGUUCUUCUUGCUUUGCAGGUGUCAGACGUACGUGGAGGAGGUGACGUGCGGC